AAAGAUGAUGAGGAAAAGGAGAUGAGGCCGGGACGGAGGCGCGGUCGUGGCAGCGGACGGGCGACUUCUUAGGGAAGCACCGCGUUUGUCGGCCGUCAUCCCCCGGCUCGACCAAGAGAUCCCGUUCUUCCAGGUUGCUUAGCUAUCCGUGGACGCUAGUGCCAUUCAGGACUGCAUCGGCAUCAAAUUAGUCUGCGUUCUGAAUUUAUGGAAGUGCAUGUAUCAUUUCUCUUAUAAGGGUUACAGGGCUGAGAGAUUUCUUUAAAUCAGUGUACUGCACCAAAACAUCAGAAAUGAGCAUUUCUGUGUUUUGUUUAUGCAUGGAGGAACUAAAUGAACUUGAAACAAAGAAAUUUUAUUGAGCACCGACGAGGAACCUGAUGCCGUCCCUCCUGUGUGACCAAGCAAUGAUCAGAUGGCUGAUUAUGCACCAUAUAGUCUCACAUUUAUAAGAUUUAAAAGAGUCGGAUGACAUGUGUUGGUCUAACUCACGACUUAAUAUGUUUAGACAUGGAUUGAAUUGAUGUCAACUCUGAUAUUUGACUCUAACUCAUGCUCAAUUUUAAGGACACUCAUGUGUGUGCACAAAGUUAUUGUCAACGACAAAACCAUAUUUUUAAUUCCAUUUCAUAGAAUUUCUGGAUC